UACGGAGGGUGCAAGCGUUACUCGGAAUCACUGGGCGUAAAGGACGCGUAGGCGGUUUGGAAAGUCAGAUGUGAAAGCCUAUGGCUUAACCAUAGAACUGCAUUUGAAACUUCCAGACUAGAGUGAGGGAGAGGUCAGUGGAAUUAGUGGUGUAGGGGUAAAAUCCGUAGAGAUCACUAGGAAUACUCAUUGCGAAGGCGACUGACUGGAACUUUACUGACGCUGAGGCGUGAAAGCGUGGGGAGCAAACAGGAUUAGAUACCCUGGUAGUCCACGCCCUAAACGAUGUACACUAGUUGUUGCGAUGCAAGUCAUCGCAGUGAUGCAGCUAACGCAUUAAGUGUACCGCCUGGGGAGUACGGUCGCAAGAUUAAAACUCAAAGGAAUAGACGGGGACCCGCACAAGUGGUGGAGCAUGUGGUUUAAUUCGAAGAUACGCGAAGAACCUUACCUGGGCUUGACAUCCCGAGAACCUCUGAGAGAUCAGAGGGUGCCAGUUUACUGGAGCUCGGUGACAGGUGCUGCACGGCUGUCGUCAGCUCGUGUCGUGAGAUGUUGGGUUAAGUCCCGCAACGAGCGCAACCCUCGUCCUUAGUUGCUAACGGUUUGGCCGAGCACUCUAAGGAGACUGCCUUCGUAAGGAGGAGGAAGGUGAGGACGACGUCAAGUCAUCAUGGCCCUUAUGCCCAGGGCGACACACGUGCUACAAUGGGGAGGACAAUGAGAGGCGAUACCGCGAGGUGGAGCAAAUCUAUAAACCUUCUCUCAGUUCGGAUUGCAGUCUGCAACUCGACUGCAUGAAGCUGGAAUCACUAGUA
rnacentral:rRNA from 1 species